rnacentral:piRNA from 1 species
AAAAUAGUGACUCUAAACAAAGAGAACAGC